CUCUGCCCCGGGUGCGUCGCAGCCCCGGACCAAGGCGCCCGCCGGAGGACCAACCAAAACUUUAUUGUAUACCCCCUCGCGGGUUUUUUACUAUCUGAGCCAUCUCGGCGCCCCUCGUGGGCGUUUSGAAAAUGAAUCAAAACUUUCCAACAACGGAUCUCUUGGUUCUGGCAUCGAUGAAGAACGCCAGCGAAAUGCGAUAAGUAAUGUGGAAUUGCAGAAUUCAGUGGAAUCAUCGAAUCUUUGAACGCACAUUGCGCCCGCCAGUAUUCUGGCGGGCAUGGCCUGUCCCGAGCGUCAUUUCAACCCUCGAACCCCUCCCGGGGGGUCGGCGUUGGGGGAUCGGCCCUUUACGGGGCCGGCCCCGAAAUACAGUGGCGGUCUCGCCGCAGCCUCUCCUGCGCAGUAGUUUGCACACUCGCAUCGGGAGCGCGGCGCGUCCACAGCCGUUAAACACCCCAAACUUUGAAUGUUGACCUCGG
rnacentral:rRNA from 1 species